rnacentral:rRNA from 1 species
AUACGGAGGGGGUUAGCGUUGUUCGGAAUUACUGGGCGUAAAGCGCACGUAGGCGGAUUAGUAAGUUAGAGGUGAAAUCCCAGGGCUUAACCCUGGAACUGCCUUUAAUACUGCUCGUCUUGAGUUCGUGAGAGGUAAGUGGAAUUCCUAGUGUAGAGGUGAAAUGCGUAGAUAUCAGGAGGAACACCUGUGGCGAAGGCGGCUAUCUGGACCAGUACUGACGCUGAGGCGCGAAAGCGCGGGGAGCAAACAGUAUUAGAAACCCCAGUAGUCC